UUAGGCAUACACAGAAACGGAUCUUAGGAACAUCGUUCGAAAUGUAGACUCGUUCACGGAUCGGUCAUAAGGGAAAAAUGAUUAUUUUUUUAAUGAACUUGUUAAUUUCACAUUUAUAUUAUUAUUGCAUUCCACCGACUUUAUUAAGUUGAUUUUAUUAAACAUCGUAUCGGGUAUGAAUUAUAUUUUUUUAAAAUAAUCUCAAGAGGACGCUAUAGUAGAAUAUUUGUCAUCUCUGUAUUUUGUGUCGAUUAGGUGCUAUACACAUAAUAUAAUCUAACAAUGUUCAUGCCUCGUACGUGUAUUUUGAUCUUUCAAUGGAUAAACGAGUUUAUUCCGAGAUCUGCAAAAAAGUAAAUAUUAUUUGACAGU